UAGGGUGCGAGCGUAAUCGGAAUUACUGGGCGUAAAGCGAGCGCAGACGGUUACUUAAGCAGGAUGUGAAAUCCCCGGGCUCAACCUGGGAACUGCGUUCUGAACUGGGUGACUAGAGUGUGUCAGAGGGAGGUAGAAUUCCACGUGUAGCAGUGAAAUGCGUAGAGAUGUGGAGGAAUACCGAUGGCGAAGGCAGCCUCCUGGGAUAACACUGACGUUCAUGCUCGAAAGCGUGGGUAGCAAACAGGAUUAGAUACCCUGGUAGUCAAGGGCG
rnacentral:rRNA from 1 species